rnacentral:rRNA from 1 species
GAUGAACGCUGGCGGCGUGCUUAACACAUGCAAGUCGAACGGGAAAUACCUCAUUGAGUCUUCGGCGGAUUUGAUUUAUUUCUAGUGGCGGACGGGUGAGUAACGCGUGGGUAACCUGCCUUAUACAGGGGGAUAACAGUCAGAAAUGGCUGCUAAUACCGCAUAAGCGCACAGAGCUGCAUGGCUCAGUGUGAAAAACUCCGGUGGCAUAAGAUGGACCCGCGUUGGAUUUGCUAGUUGGUGGGGUAACAGCCCACCAAGGCGACGAUCCAUAGCCGGCGUGAGAGGGUGAACGGCCACAGUGGGAAUGAGACACGGCCCAGAAUGCUACGGGGGGCAGCAGUGGGGAAUAUUGCACAAUGGGGGAAACCCUGAUACAGCGGCGCCGCGUGAAGGAAGAAGUAGCUCGGUAUGUAAACUUCUAUCAGCAGGGAAGAUAGUGACGGUACCUGACGAAGAAGCCCCGGCUAACUACGUG